GGACUACACGGGUAUCUAAUCCCGUUCGCUCCCCUGGCUUUCGCGCCUCAGCGUCAGUAGAGAUCCAGCAGCCCGCUUUCGCCACCGGCGUUCCUUCCGAUAUCAACGCAUUUCACCGCUCCACCGGAAGUUCCGGCUGCCCCUACCUCCCUCAAGAUCUCCAGUAUCCAAGGCACUUUUCCGGUUAAGCCGAAAGCUUUCACCCCGGACUUGGAGACCCGCCUACGCGCCCUUUAAGCCCAGUGAUUCCGAACAACGUUCGCACGGUUCGUCUUACCGCGGCGGCUGGCAC
rnacentral:rRNA from 3 species